CCUACGGGAGGCAGCAGGGGGGAAUCUUGGACAAUGGGCGCAAGCCUGAUCCAGCCAUGCCGCGUGAGUGAUGAAGGCCCUAGGGUCGUAAAGCCCUUUCAACUGUGAAGAUUAAGACGGUAGCAGUARAAGAAACCCCGGCUAACUCCGUGCCAGCAGCCGCGGUAAUACGGAGGGGGUUAGCGUUGUUCGGAAUUACUGGGCGUAAAGCGUACGUAGGCGGAUUAGUAAGUCAGAGGUGAAAUCCCAGGGCUCAACCCUGGAACUGCCUUUGAUACUGCUAGUCUUGAGUUCGAGAGAGGUGAGUGGAAUUCCAAGUGUAGAGGUGAAAUUCGUAGAUAUUUGGAGGAACACCAGUGGCGAACGCGGCUCACUGGCUCGAUACUGACGCUGAGGUACGAAAGUGUGGGG
rnacentral:rRNA from 1 species